CUAGUUUCACUGUCGGCGACGGUUUCGUUCGAAGAAGAAGAAGAAAGUUGGUUUGUGCAACGCGUUCCGUAAAGGUCGCAGUCGCCGGCGAGGAUGAGAUGGUGAGACUUCAACGACGACGUAGAGAGGAGGAGAAAGGGAACCCUCGAACUUAGGAGGAAGAGGAGCGGCGACGUUGAACGGUGGAGGCUGAGUAGAGGUGGUGGCGCGCAGGGGAGGAAACCUGGUGGCCAGCGUCAGCUCCGGUGAGGAGCAGAGUCACCAGCGUGGUCUUGGCUCACGGCCUGUGGCCGUUGACGGCAGGGUGUGCGUGAGUGAACGGUAGAGGCAAAGUCUCUCUGGCGUUCUCGUGAAAGAGGGGAACCCUAACUGUUGGGUUUUCUGAUUUUGGAGUGUGCAAUACUGAAAUGAGAUGUUAUGAGAGAACCCCUAAAGUUUCUAGGUCAGAAGUGGUUUUAGGGCCAGCUUUCUGGGCUGCGUUCCUUUCUCCUCUGCACCCCCAUUUUCUACCAACACACCCCUAAAUCGGACCUAGGUCUGGCCAAACCCAAAAGACAUUAAUUAAAAAACCGCUUUUGCACCCCCUUAUUCUACUGGAUCGCACCCCGUCCUUCUUGGGCUUAAACCCAUUCACUUUUUUUUUUCCUUGCAGCCCCCUAUUUUCAUUUUCAUACCUCUUUCCACUUGGGCUUAGGCCCAACCUGUUAUAAGAAUUAAUUUAGUUUGCACACCCCUCUUCUUAUCUAAGCANCACCANANCUUUUACUUAUUAUUUUCUUAUUAUUUUAUCAUUCAAUUUUUAGGUUAUUUUUACUUUUUAUUUUACUUAGUUAUUUNUCUAUUUCUAUUUUUCC
rnacentral:lncRNA from 1 species